UCGAUCGUAAUGGUCACCUUAAAGAGCAAAUUACUAAGGAAUGGUUUUCCCAACUCAUUAGAGAAGAUUUAUCCCCAUGACUUUGCCAACAUGUUGGCUCAAAUGGAGAAGUAUGCAAGAGCAGAUGAAGCAUUUGAGAAUGAACCUCCAAUGAAUAUGGUCGCCAAAAAAAAGAAAGAAGAAAAGCUGGAAUCCCUGCUAAAGGAUCAACAAUAUUUUCAUUCUCCACCCA
rnacentral:lncRNA from 1 species